rnacentral:lncRNA from 1 species
UCUCGGGAGGCCUCCUCUGGCCGCAAGGUAAAAGUCACAGCCCCGGCGGGGGGGGGGGGGGGGGGGGGGGUUGCUGCCCCUUCAACGCUUUGAUUUUUGCCCCAGGGCUUGUCACUGACAUACAAUGUACUUUAUUUAUCUUGAUUUUCAUCUCUUCCCUAAAAGGUGAAUUCCAUAAGGGAGGGAGGAUGAGUCAGAGCCCAAGCAGGAAACAAAAGGGAAACUUGAACUGGGUUCUUUGAGGAGAGUUUAGUAAAAGGGCCAUUUCCCAAGACUGGCAAGGAGGUAGGGAAGCCUGGGGUGAGGCAGCACCUGAGGGCAGUGACCCAGCCCGGGGGACAGGGAUGUGAGAGAGGACAACAGCCACUGACCCUCCGCUUAGGGCGGCUCGGUCAAGCACCCCCCCCACCCCGCGGUUGCCCCACAUCACCCACCCCAAGCGGAGCCUGGAGCUGGGGCCCCGGGCACAGUGCUAAGGUGGGGGGGGGGGGGGAAUCUGCACGGUGACCCACAGGGAAGUCAGGCCUGUCCCCCGUUGGACCUCCAUCCCUACUGGCGCACAGGAGGUGUGAGUGUCCUGGGGCUGCCAGGACAAAGUACUGCAUGGGGGAGGGGGGGCUUAGAACUGUAGAAACACAUUCUCUCACAGUUCUGGCGGCCAGACGUCUGAAAUAAAAAUUUCAGUAGGGCUGCGCUCCCUCGGAAGACUCUAGAAAAGGAACUCCCACAUGUCUCCAGUAGCUCCAGGAGGAUACGGAUGCCCCUUGGCGUCCCUUCACUUGUAAACUCCGUCUUCAUGGGGCCGUCUUCCCGUGUGUCUGCGUCUGUCUGACCUCACAAGGACACCAGUCAUAUUGGAUCAAGGCCCAUCCCCACUGAGGACGACCUCAUCUUAACUUGAUGACAUGGGGAGACCCUAUUUCCAAUCACAGAUGCUCGGUUUAAGACUUCAACACAGCCUUUCGGGGGACACAGUUCAACCUGGAAUACUGAGUAGUCAAUAAUGAAUCAACGAAUGAAUUGUCUCUCCUGAGAAUAAAAAAGAAAAGAGUAGUAAAGUUUGGGGGUAAUUCAAACCAGGUCAUUAAAGGCCCUCCUUCCAUUAUAUAUAUAUAUAUAUAUUUUUUUUUUUCCUUGACAUUAUGUCAGAUUAUGGGCAGCAGUAAAUCUCCAAGAAAAACAAAGGCCAGGAUUUAGUGCCGGAAAGGAAUCCUGAAAAAAAAUUUUUUUUUCAUAAAUAAAUAACACAAGGAACUAGAAGCGGAAAGGGUGGUAUACAGUUGAGGCAUAGGACCGGGGAGAGGUCCAGAGCUCAGAAACGCUGCCUUCGGAUGGGAGUCUGAUGGCGUCACCCCCACACCCCAUCAUGCACAGCGCGGGGACCUGGCUCCUAGUGAGGGCUCUUCUCUAGAGAAAUGAAAUGUUUCCAAAGCAACCAGCAAACCCUUCUGCCACCAAUGGAUCCCCCGCCCGCCCACCCCGAAGCGAAGCCUGACAAGGAUGAGCCCCAACAGAGCUACAAAGCCCUCUCUCAACACGCUGUCUGUCGCCUUUUUCCUAGCUUGAGGGUCAACAGAGAAGGAUUGGACAUUUCCAGGAAACCAGAAAUAUGAAUGAGAAAGAGAACGAGAAACAGGAAAAAGGGAAGGAAAAAGCCAUAUGUACCUAUGGUCCCAGUUCAAUUAAAAAUACACACAGUGUGGGGCGCCUGGGUGGCUCAGUCGAUUGAGCGACCGACUCUUAAUUUCGGCUCAGGUCAUGGUCCCAGGGUCAUGGGAUCAGGCCCUGUGUUGGGUUCCGUGCCGAGCGUGGAGUCUGCUUGGGAUUCUCUCUUUCUCGUCCUCUUCCCCUCACCUUUCUCUCUCUCUCUCUCUCUCUCUUUCUCUAAUAAAUAAAUAAAAAUAAAAAAUGAAAAAAGUACAGUGUGUUUGUAGACACAUCAACACACAUGUGUUAUGUUUGCACAUAUAUAUGUGUUUUUUGGGUUUUUUUUUUUCAACGUUUAUUUAUUUUUGGGACAGAGAGAGACAGAGCAUGAACGGGGGAGGGGCAGAGAGAGAGGGAGACACAGAAUCGGAAACAGGCUCCAGGCUCUGAGCCAUCAGCCCAGAGCCUGACGCGGGGCUCGAACUCACGGACGUGAGAUCGUGACCUGGCUGAAGUCGGACGCUUAACCCACUGCGCCACCCAGGCGCCCGGGUUUUUUUUUUUUUUUUUAAUAUUUAUUUCCCUUUGAGAGAGAGAUGGACAGAGCGUGAGCAGGGGAGGGGCAGAAAGAGAGGGAGACACAGAAUCCGAAGCAGGCUCCGGGCUCCGAGCUGUCAGCAUAGAGCCGGACACGGGACCCGAACCAACCCACCGUGAGAUCGUGACCUAAGCCCAGCGCUCAACCGACUGAGCCACCCAAGUGCCCUGAGAUUCGUGUGUUUUAGAUGCCAGCAAACCAAGUAUCGGUAUUCAGACAGCAAGACCAAGGUUGGGCUGUAAAUGUUAAAAGCCCUGAUUUAUGUCACUGUCCUCGUGAAGCACAGCCUACUUCCCGUGGAGUAGGAUUGUAGAGCUACCAAACUGUUUUUCAAAAAAGCGACUGGAGGUUCCUUUGAAUAUCCAACAAGUACCAGGAACGGUGCCAUCAUUCCAUCCCAUUAAGUGGAGUGCCAGGUGACGGUCACCGAGCAACAGAAUGGAGCCCAGCAUUCAGCCUUGUAUUUCCUACCGCAUUUAAGGCUUUGUUAAAGAAUAUUUUAAGGACAUCUCUUCUGUCACAAAAGAACUCAGUAAGUCUUCCGGAAAGGUGUACCAGUGGGUCCACCAAAUGACCAAAUGAGCUAGUCUGUUCGGUAAACUUGUUUAAACAGUAUUAUCGGGGCGCCUGGGUGGCGCAGUCGGUUGAGCGUCCGACUUCGGCUCAGGUCACGAUCUCGCGGUCCGUGAGUUCGAGCCCCGCAUCGGGCUCUGUGCGGACAGCUCAGAGCCUGGAGCCUGCUUCCGAUUCUGUGUCUCCCUCUCUCUCUGCCCCUCCCCCGUUCAUGCUCUGUCUCUCUCUGUCUCAAAAAUAAAAAUAAACGUUAAAAAAUAAAUAAAUAAAUAAAUAAAUAAAUAAAUAAAUAAAUAAACAGUAUUAUCAAAUCAGAUGCCAGAGUUAGUUCGAUAAGAACGACUGUUUUGAUGUUGGCUGGAUAUUUUGCUGUUUCUCUUAACAAUAGCCAACCAAUGGAUUCAGUUGUCUCCUGAGGCUUGCUGGGGACACAGCGGUAGCUCUACGUUAUCAACCCAGAAGAGCGUCUCCUGUUUAUUUAAUUUCAGAGGCCACGUGGCCACAUAGGCUAGGAAGGAUUCUAAAAUCUUUACAUGUGGGGGCUGUGUAAAACAGAGCCAUCGCCACAUAAUUAAACACGGACUUUUAUGUCAGAAGGCCGAUCCAGCCCACUCCAAUUUUCUCAGUGACGUUAUGAUAAAGGCAAAAGGUGCAUUAAAAGCUUUGGAUCUAUACUAAGGUCAUAAAAUCUCGCCCAGAGACAGUUCCUGUCUAGGGAUUCACACGCCAGAAACAGAUCAAUAGAGGCUGUAAAAAGUUCUACAAUAUUCCCAACCAGCUGCUCUAUAAAGUACAAGUGAACGCUCACUCGUUGAAGACGAAAGCAUUCCCGUAAUGCCAGUAUUAAAUAUACAAUUUACUCGAAUAAAAGAAUUUGUUUUCUGUUUAUUUUCUUGGGAAAAUCGGUUGACCGGUGAGAUAUGAGACUUGCUUUAUUUUCUAGGAUAAAAUUCUGACGGAACUACUAGUCUGCACCAACCACAGAUAGGCCGUCUUCUUUCUCCUCCCCCGGUAGACGCUGGAGAUGUUUCCUCUCGAGUUGUUGGGGUUCGACUUGACAAAAUUCUAGAGGCGGUACAGAGUCUGUGAUCAGAAAAAUGUCUUUAUCACGGCGAAAAUCUGCUCGUGCCGAUGGACCGGAGAGAAGGCAGAAGAAGCAGUUGUGUCUCGGGGUAGCUGUUCUCCCUUGAAAUCCGGUAAAAAUGGCCCCGUGAAUGCAGGGCCUAAAAGUGAGUCCCCAAAGUGAGGGGCCUCUGGGACCCACACGCCAUCCCCCAAACAAGAAGAAUCAUUUUCCUGGCAACGGAAAGAUUAAUCAUGCAUUUCACAAAGGAGACGCAAGGUUCGGUAAUGUGCGACCUUGAUUUACAAUGGCCUCCUGAUUUAUUGUUGUGUAUUUUUAAACCAUGCUAUUUAAAACACAGCUAAUUUAAAAGCUAGUGUGUAGGCCCCGUCUGACUAUUGCUAAAGAUUUACUUUGUGCUAAUAAGAAAAUUAUUGUGUCUACGCUAUUCCCACUUCUCCCGCACUGUGUGAUCCAACCUCCAAUAAAAUUGCUUGUCAGGUGAGAGA